AUUGAACGCUGGCGGCAUGCCUUACACAUGCAAGUCGAACGGCAGCACGGGAGCAAUCCUGGUGGCGAGUGGCGAACGGGUGAGUAAUAUAUCGGAACGUGCCCAGUCGUGGGGGAUAACGUAGCGAAAGCUACGCUAAUACCGCAUACGAUCUAUGGAUGAAAGCGGGGGAUCGCAAGACCUCGCGCGAUUGGAGCGGCCGAUAUCAGAUUAGGUAGUUGGUGGGGUAAAGGCUCACCAAGCCGACGAUCUGUAGCUGGUCUGAGAGGACGACAAGCCACAGUGGGACUGAGACACGGCCCAGACUCCUACGGGAGGCAGCAGUGGGGAAUGUUGGACAAUGGGCGCAAGCCUGAUCCAGCAAUGCCGCGUGCAGGAUGAAGGCCUUCGGGUUGUAAACUGCUUUUGUACGGAGCGAAAAGGCUUCCACUAAUACUGGGGGCUCAUGACGGUACCGUAAGAAUAAGCACCGGCUAACUACGUGCCAGCCGCCGCCGUAACAC
rnacentral:rRNA from 1 species